rnacentral:lncRNA from 10 species
CUGGAUCUAGCCACCCAGCAAGUCUACCCGGCUCCAGGCUGGUACUGAGGGUUAUCUGCACAGAGUCCUAUGAUGUGAACCAUCUGUGGGUCUCUCAGCCAUGGAUACCAGCACCUGUAACGGUGGAGGUGGCAGGGGGGUGAAAUGGACUCUGUGAGGGUUCUUAGCUUUGGUGGUUUAAUGCACUAUUUUUGUGCUGGUUGGCCCUCUGCCAGGAGGUGGCACUUUCCAGAGAGCAUCAGAGGUGGCAAUAUGGGGAGGAACAGGCAGUGGGUGGGGCCCUAGAACUCCCCAGAGUAUAUAUGCCCUUUGUCUUCAGCUACCAGGGUGGGUAGGGAAGGACCACUGGGUGGGGGCAGAACUAGGCAUGUCUGAGCUCACACUCUCCUUGGGCGAGUCUUGCUUUGGCUGCUGUGGGAGAUGGGAUGAGGUUCCCAGGUCAAUGGAGUUAUGUUCCUAGGAUGAUUAUGACUGUCUUUACUGUGUCAGGCAGGCUGUCAUGGAAGUGGGGGAAAGCUGGCAGUCACAGGCCUCACCCAGCUCCCAUGCAACUUGAAGGGCCAGUCUCACUCCCACUGUGCACCUCCUAACAGCACCAAGUCUGUUUCCAGGGAGUGGGCAAGCAGGGCUGAGAACUUGCCCCAGGCUACCGGCCUCCCAGCUGCAAAAGCAAAUAGGCUUUCCUUCUUCCCCUGCCUGUGGAGUCUGCACACCAGAUUCACGCCCUCCCCCCAGGUUCUGGCCAGAAGGCUUCUCCAUCAGUUCAAAUUGUUACAAAGUUCAGCUGGAGAUUUUCUUCUCCCUGUGGCCUUUUCCCAGCACUUCUGGCCACCAUCCCGAAGCACUCCUGUGAGGCCAGGCAAAAACCCUAGGGGACCCAUCAAGCUCCCAGGACUCUUCUCGCUGCUUCCUCUACCCUGUAUUUUGCUCGGCUCUCUAAAUUAACUCAGCUUCAGUUGUACUGGAGCAGAAAUUCGCAAUGCAAGCCUCUGCGUGCUGCUCUGUCUGUCCAAGUUGGAGCUGCAAUCUAGUCCUGCCUGCCAUCCACCAUGAUCUGACCAUAAUUAUAUUUUAUUGUUGUAUUUUUUGCAUUUUUUUGAUCCACAAUUGGUCAAAUCCACAAAUGCAGAAUCCUCAGAUACAAAGGGCUGACCAUAUGUUUACUGAUUUCUUUGUUCAUCAUUUCUUCUUGCAUUUUAAUUCUUCCUUCUGCUUUCAAUUUUAUUCUUCCUGAAGUAUAUCCUCUUUCAGCAAAUGUGUUAGUGUUUCUCAGACUUUGUUCUGAAAAUGUUUUUAUUUUGCACUCACUUUUUUUUUUUUUUUUUUUUUGAGAUGGAGUCUCACUCUGUCACCCAGGCUGGAGUGCAGUGGAGCGAUCUCAGCCCACUGCAACCUCCACCUUCUGGGUUCAAGCAAUUUUCCAGCCUCAGCCUCCCAAGUAGCUGGGAUUACAGGUGCAUGCCACCAUGCCCUGCUAAUUUUUGUGUUUUUAGUAGAGACAGGGCAUCACCAUGUUGGCCAGGCUGGUCUCAAACUCCUGGCCUCAAGUGAUCCACCUGCCUCAGCCUCCCAAAAUGCUGGGAUUACAGGCAUGAGCCACUGCACCUGGCCUGCACUCACUCUUAAGUGAUAGUUUAGCGAGGUAUAAAAAAAAUUUUUUUUUUACUAGGAUUCUGAGCAUUUUGAUACAUGAUUUUCAGGCUUCUAUUAUGACUAUUCAGAAAUCUGAUGAUAGUCUAAUUGUUCUCCCCUUGUAGAGUGCCCUGGUUCCUUUUAAGACUUCCUUUUGGUCUCUGAGGUUCUGCAUUUUGACCAUAAUGUGUCUGGUUAUUAUUUCAUUUGAUUUAUUCUGCCUGUGACCCCUGUGAUUUCUGAAUCUAUGAUUCAUGUCUCUCAUCAACUCUGGAAAAUUAUCAACCAUUUCCUCUAAAAUAUUGUCUUUGCCUCAUUGUUUUUAUUUUUCUUUCUGGAACUUCUGUUAGAUACAUAGCGAACCUUUUUAGUCCAUCCUUCAUGUCUCUUAACAUCUUUUUUACAUUUUAUAUAUUUUCAAACCUUUGCAAUGAAUUAUGGACAAUUUCUUUAAUUCUAGAUUUAAGUUUAUUUAUGUUCUGUUUUGUAUA